rnacentral:lncRNA from 1 species
GCAGGUGUAAUUGUUUGGAAACUUCAUGGAGAGAACGGUGGUGCGUUCAGGCUCUUAUAUGUUGUUCAGGCUCUGGUGGUGCGUUCAGGUGUGUUCAGGCUCUGGUGGUGCGUUCAGGCUCUCAUAUGUUGUUCAGGCUCUGGUGGUGCGUUCAGGCUCUCAUAUGUUGUUCAGGCUCUGGUGGUGCGUUCAGGCUCUCAUAUGUUGUUCAGGCUCUGGUGGUGCGUUCAGGCUCUCAUAUGUUGUUCAGGCUCUGGUGGUGCGUUCAGGUGUGUUGAGGCUCUGGUGGUGCGUUCAGGUGUGUGUUGAGGCUCUGGUGGUGCGUUCAGGUGUGUGUUGAGGCUCUGGUGGUGCGUUCAGGUGUGUGUUGAGGCUCUGGUGGUGCGUUCAGGCUCUGGUGGUGCGUUCAGGUGUGUGUUGAGGCUCUGGUGGUGCGUUCAGGUGUGUGUUGAGGCUCUGGUGGUGCGUUCAGGUGUGUUGAGGCUCUGGUGGUGCGUUCAGGUGUGUGUUGAGGCUCUGGUGGUGCGUUCAGGUGUGUUGAGGCUCUGGUGGUGCGUUCAGGUGUGUUGAGGCUCUGGUGGUGCGUUCAGGUGUGUGUUGAGGCUCUGGUGGUGCGUUCAGGUGUGUGUUCAGGCUCUGGUGGUGCGUUCAGGGGUGUGUUCAGGCUCUGGUGGAGCGUUCAGGUGUGUUGAGGCUCUGGUGGUGCGUUCAGGUGUGUGUUGAGGCUCUGGUGGUGCGUUCAGGUGUGUGUUCAGGCUCUGGUGGUGCGUUCAGGGGUGUGUUCAGGCUCUGGUGGUGCGUUCAGGUGUGUUGAGGCUCUG